rnacentral:misc_RNA from 1 species
UUUUUGGCCGACUUGUCCAGUUAAAUAAAUAAUUUAUAUAACAUAAAAUAUGAUUAAAUGUUGUUAAAAAUUUAAUUGAAAUUAAUUAGACAAGAAAUGAAGAGAAAAUGAAAGAAAAUAGACUUAUGACAUCAUAAUGAUGUCAUUAAGAUUCUCCCAACCAACCCAAAGUUGACACAUGGCAUAAGCUUACUUAAAAGAGACAAAUGAGAUGGAAAAUGAACAAAAAAUCAGACUUCCUAUCCCUUCUUCUUUUCCUUGCCGUAAACCACUCCUCCAUGGCAACCAUAAACAAGCUUUCAAAGCUUGAUUUUCCCUAACUUCCACACCAUAAAACCCUAACCUAGCAAAACAAAAAAUUGUUCUAUCAUCUUGGUGAGUUUUUUGGGGGCAAAAGGAAUUAAAAAGAAAGAGUUCUUACAAGCUUUGGAUUAGCUCCCUAUGAGGUUAGUGACUUAAACUUAUGUUUCUCUUCAAAUUGAUGUUGAAUAAGUAUAAUUGAGUGCAAAAUUGUAAAAAAAUUUGCUAAAUAUCUUGUGUAUGUCCAUCCCAAAAUUUUGGGCAGCCUUGAACCUAGUAGAGUUUUGAAGAUUUCUUAGAGUUAAAUUGUAAUUUGGCUGCCUUUAACAUUAAUACAAUACUUAGGACAAUGGAAGGUAUAUAAAUGUAUGAAUGGUAAUGUGUGAGUUAGGGUUUGGGGCGAAAAAAUGAGACUUUGACCAUGUGAUGAUGAAAAUAGGUAUUAAUGGUCAAUCAGUGACCAUUUAGUUCUAUUUAAAUAAAAAAUGAAGUGUGUUGAGUGAUGGGAUUUGGGUUUGGUGUGGCUGCCAUUAGAGUGACCUGCAGAAUUGGACUUGAGUCCAGCAGGUUUAGGCAGCCAUAACUUGAAUUAUAGAGGUUCAAUUGGUGCAAAGCCAAUUGGACAUGAAACUAGACA